rnacentral:rRNA from 1 species
UACGUAGGUGGCAAGCGUUGUCCGGAUUUACUGGGCGUAAAGGGCGCGUAGGCGGUUCGAUAAGUCCCGUGUGAAAUCCCUCGGCUCAACUGAGGAAUGGCACGGGAAACUGACGGGCUUGAGUUCGGGAGAGGGAAGCGGAAUUCCGGGUGUAGCGGUGAAAUGCGUAGAUAUCCGGAGGAACACCGGUGGCGAAGGCGGCUUCCUGGACCGACACUGACGCUGAGGCGCGAAAGCUAGGGGAGCAAACGGG